AUGCAGCAUUUGCCUCCUGCAGAUGUGGCAGCGUAGAAGAGCGGCAAAAAGAGAUUUUUAUGAUCAGCUCCAACACCUGAAUCCAGAUAAAAAUGUUUGCCAGCCGUGGUGGCAGUGGAGGGGGAAAAGGGGGCAAAUAUUCAGUAGAGGAUCUCUAUGGCAUCACCAAGAAGCCAAAGGCAUCCACCUCAUCUGGGAGCAUCGCUCCCAAAUCUGGCACCCGGAGCAGUAAAACCCCAGACCCGAAGAGCGAGUCGGAGGCCUUCGCUUCACAGAUCCUGGAGGCAGCUCACCGGCUGGUGGAGCGAAGGAGACUGGAGCUUUACCUGCGGGAAUGUGGCCUCUCCCUGGCCGAGUGUGAGGCUGGCCACUCUGCAAUGACGUACAGCUUUUUCUUAGCACAUCUUCUAAGGUCUUUCUAAAGCUAAAUAAGUCUGCACACCAGAAACUCUCCAAUCUGCAGCUGAGCUGGUCUUUAAAAAGCUGAUGACAAUUUCCUCCUGCUGGCAGCUGACUUCCAUACAAUCUGCUGUGGGACUCCAAAGGGCUUCUAAACAAGAUCUCAUUAGAGGAAAGAUGGACAGAAAUGAUGAAUGUACGUGUGUAGGUUUUCAUGCACGCCUGAGAUAUUUUGCAGAUUGUCUCUCUGUGGGAAGUUGAGCCAGCAGAACAAACUCUGAACACAGUUUGAGGUCUGGGAUUGACAUUUUCCUCAUAUGAUUGUUGGUUGAGGGUGUUAUUUUCACCAUAUAUGAGCCACAAAAGCAGAAUCUACUGAUUUUAUGAAAUGAAAGGGGAAAAAAAGAAAUAUCAAUUUUGUGCAGGCACUGAAAACAGCCUUUUUGCAUGGCAACUUGGGAAGUUGGGUGUGGUAAAAGAGAGAUUCUUGCAUGUGGGAAAGCUCUGGCGAUUUUAAGAGGGAAUUUCUGGAAGAGAAGAAGCAAUAGGAGAACAUAUUCAAACGAAUAAUUUUUCUUCUUUAACAUGCAAAUGAGAAGCUCGGUUCAUGAAAAGCUUUACUGUGAAGACGCGAUGAAAUGUGUGCAGCCAGUGAUGAAAAAUGCAGAGAUCACAGGCGGGGGGGGGGUGGAAUAGAGGCAGAGUGAACGAAACACACACACACAUACACACAUUCACGGAGUUAUCCUCCAAACCUCUCUGCUUGCGCGUCGUGAACAUUUUGGCACCUCCGGAAAAAAAGGCAAAUCCCCCCUAAAACUGGUGGAGGUAAGGAUGCUGAUGGAGGAGACGGACGCGGCGUGUGUCUGUGUGGAGCCAGGCGUCUGCUGCAGCUGCGUUUGAGGCUAGUAUGCCGGCUUUUUUCCCCCUUCUUCAUUCAAUUCCAAGCGCCGUGGAAUGACGGGAGAGCUCCACAGCAGCUCACGCCGGUCCACGAACUCUGCCUCAAACACUAAGGCUUCAACAAAGCCGCAGAAUCGGCUUCCCUUCAUCGCAACAAUUUGAUGCUGCGUGAAGCUGCUGCGCGUAGAUCCAUCGUGGUUUGGAUGUGUGAAGUCCCUGCAUGCUCUACGGACACUGCGAUGUGAAUUUCCACAAAGCUGGGAGUUCUUUUUUUUUUUAAUUUUCCAAUAAAACUGAUCAUGAUAGAUGAUGCGUUAUUUCGACGGGAGUUGCGAGGAUGCCUGUGGCUGUGACUGUGUCCUCCCUGCUGCGGCACACUCCGGAGCUCCUCAGCUCCAGACAGACUCAACUAACCUCAGCUGAAGAGAGAACAGGAAGCUGGCAGGUGCUGGAUCAUCCAACAUAAGCCAUAUAGGAGCCCGUGCGUGUAUCUGCGGGGAGGGUGGAGGCCAGACGCUCCCCAGAGAAGCAGAAUCUCUUGCACUGGAGCUUUGGGGCUUCCUGAGAACUGCUACAUCCCCACAUCCAUCUGAGGACUGCUGCGAGCUUUUCAAGCCUCCUGAUGGUUCUUGGAGGGCCGCCCCGAUGCAUGUUGUGAGUGUGAGAACUCUUAGAGCCUUUUUGCCAGUUUUGCAUCACCAGACAGUCGACAUCAACUCUGUUAUGUUAGAAGCCGGACUCCUGUCUGCUCCCUCUAAUUUGCAGCCAAAAUCUCUCGCCUCCUCAAUUUGAGGCUUUUGCAUGAGCAUCUCUGUGCUGCAUCAGCAGCACGACAGGAAUCGCUGU
rnacentral:lncRNA from 1 species